CUCCUGUUCCAUUCGUCUGUGGACACAGGAACCCGGGUCCAAAGUCUGUUCCUCCUGUCCUGAACAAGAGCUGGUUUGUGGAUAUGACACAUACCCCAAGAGUCAGAAGACUUGAGCUCUGGAUGAGGAACCUACACACUCUGAUGGACAUGUCAAACUGAAGAGCAUAAGCCUGCAGCAUCCAGCGAAAAACGCCGCCAUCACAAGACAGCAGGGCAUGAUAUAAAGAACCAGCACUGGACGACCAGGAGAACUGGCCAUCUGGACUCUAUUCUUGGUGGCACCAGUGGCAGGGCAUGUGACCUGGGGCAAGUUAUUAGCCUCUCUAAACCAAAGUGAUAUCAUUUUUAAAACCAGAAUCCAAAGAACAACGCUGCAACUCUAAAAUUCCUAAGUCACCAUUCUCUUUGAUAUCAUGACAUCUGACUGUAAAAAUAUACUGGCAGCUGCCUCCACUUCACAUCCAGAGUUAUAAAAUUCAAUCUCUUUAGGA